rnacentral:rRNA from 43 species
AGAGUUUGAUCAUGGCUCAGAUUGAACGCUGGCGGCAGGCCUAACACAUGCAAGUCGAACGGUAACAGGAAGCAGCUUGCUGCUUCGCUGACGAGUGGCGGACGGGUGAGUAAUGUCUGGGAAACUGCCUGAUGGAGGGGGAUAACUACUGGAAACGGUAGCUAAUACCGCAUAACGUCGCAAGACCAAAGAGGGGGACCUUCGGGCCUCUUGCCAUCGGAUGUGCCCAGAUGGGAUUAGCUUGUUGGUGGGGUAACGGCUCACCAAGGCGACGAUCCCUAGCUGGUCUGAGAGGAUGACCAGCCACACUGGAACUGAGACACGGUCCAGACUCCUACGGGAGGCAGCAGUGGGGAAUAUUGCACAAUGGGCGCAAGCCUGAUGCAGCCAUGCCGCGUGUAUGAAGAAGGCCUUCGGGUUGUAAAGUACUUUCAGCGGGGAGGAAGGGAGUAAAGUUAAUACCUUUGCUCAUUGACGUUACCCGCAGAAGAAGCACCGGCUAACUCCGUGCCAGCAGCCGCGGUAAUACGGAGGGUGCAAGCGUUAAUCGGAAUUACUGGGCGUAAAGCGCACGCAGGCGGUUUGUUAAGUCAGAUGUGAAAUCCCCGGGCUCAACCUGGGAACUGCAUCUGAUACUGGCAAGCUUGAGUCUCGUAGAGGGGGGUAGAAUUCCAGGUGUAGCGGUGAAAUGCGUAGAGAUCUGGAGGAAUACCGGUGGCGAAGGCGGCCCCCUGGACGAAGACUGACGCUCAGGUGCGAAAGCGUGGGGAGCAAACAGGAUUAGAUACCCUGGUAGUCCACGCCGUAAACGAUGUCGACUUGGAGGUUGUGCCCUUGAGGCGUGGCUUCCGGAGCUAACGCGUUAAGUCGACCGCCUGGGGAGUACGGCCGCAAGGUUAAAACUCAAAUGAAUUGACGGGGGCCCGCACAAGCGGUGGAGCAUGUGGUUUAAUUCGAUGCAACGCGAAGAACCUUACCUGGUCUUGACAUCCACGGAAGUUUUCAGAGAUGAGAAUGUGCCUUCGGGAACCGUGAGACAGGUGCUGCAUGGCUGUCGUCAGCUCGUGUUGUGAAAUGUUGGGUUAAGUCCCGCAACGAGCGCAACCCUUAUCCUUUGUUGCCAGCGGUCCGGCCGGGAACUCAAAGGAGACUGCCAGUGAUAAACUGGAGGAAGGUGGGGAUGACGUCAAGUCAUCAUGGCCCUUACGACCAGGGCUACACACGUGCUACAAUGGCGCAUACAAAGAGAAGCGACCUCGCGAGAGCAAGCGGACCUCAUAAAGUGCGUCGUAGUCCGGAUUGGAGUCUGCAACUCGACUCCAUGAAGUCGGAAUCGCUAGUAAUCGUGGAUCAGAAUGCCACGGUGAAUACGUUCCCGGGCCUUGUACACACCGCCCGUCACACCAUGGGAGUGGGUUGCAAAAGAAGUAGGUAGCUUAACCUUCGGGAGGGCGCUUACCACUUUGUGAUUCAUGACUGGGGUGAAGUCGUAACAAGGUAACCGUAGGGGAACCUGCGGUUGGAUCACCU